AUUGAACGCUGGCGGCAGGCCUAACACAUGCAAGUCGAACGAGUGGCGGACGGGUGAGUAAUGUCUGGGAAACUGCCUGAUGGAGGGGGAUAACUACUGGAAACGGUAGCUAAUACCGCAUACCAUCGGAUGUGCCCAGCUGGGAUUAGCUAGUAGGUGGGGUAACGGCUAACCUAGGCGACGAUCCCUAGCUGGUCUGAGAGGAUGACCAGCAACACUGGAACGGAGACACGGUCAAGACUCUUACGGGAGGCAGCAGUGGGGAAUAUUGCACAAUGGGGGAAAGCCUGAUGCAGACAUGCCGCGGGUAGGAAGAAGGCCUUCGGUUUGUAAAGUACUUUAAGCGGGGAGGCGUUACCCGAAGAAGAAGCACCGGCUAACUCCGUGCCAGCAGCCGCGGUAAUAC
rnacentral:rRNA from 1 species